AUAUAGGCUGGAAAAAUUUCGAUACAUGCUAUAUUUAUUUUUGGGUUAAUUUCAUACAGAUCCCUACAAACAUAGUGAAUUGUAAAAAUAUUCAUAUAAAGUUCAACUUUUAUAUGUUCUUUUUGUAAAAGUUCUAAUAUUUUCAAAUAUGUUCCCGUCGUUGGAAUCUGUUAAAAAACUUUAGUUAUAUAAUAAUAGAUUAAGUACUUAAUCCUGGUUAGUUUAUGAAAUACUUGAUAUUUUUACCCUCUUAUAUUAUACUGUUGUGGUUUUUAGAGGGACAUAUUUGUGUUAGCAAAAUUGACAUUUCACUUAAAAUAUAAACAAUUCUAUAACGAUAACAAACUAGAGGGAUAUAUUUGAAAAUAUUAGAACUUUUGUAGAGACAUGAAAGUUGAACUUUGUAGGGAUAUAUGUAUAACUCAGUAUAUUUGCAGGGAUCUAUA
rnacentral:lncRNA from 1 species